rnacentral:rRNA from 1 species
GAUGAACGCUGGCGGCGUGCCUAAUACAUGCAAGUCGAGCGAACAGACGAGGAGCUUGCUCCUCUUACGUUAGCGGCGGACGGGUGAGUAACACGUGGAUAACCUACCUAUAAGACUGGGAUAACUUCGGGAAACCGGAGCUAAUACCGGAUAAUAUAUUGAACCGCAUGGUUCAAUAGUGAAAGACGGUUUUGCUGUCACUUAUAGAUGGAUCCGCGCCGCAUUAGCUAGUUGGUAAGGUAACGGCUUACCAAGGCAAGGAUGCGUAGCCGACCUGAGAGGGUGAUCGGCCACACUGGAACUGAGACACGGUCCAGACUCCUACGGGAGGCAGCAGUAGGGAAUCUUCCGCAAUGGGCGAAAGCCUGACGGAGCAACGCCGCGUGAGUGAUGAAGGUCUUCGGAUCGUAAAACUCUGUUAUUAGGGAAGAACAAAUGUGUAAGUAACUAUGCACGUCUUGACGGUACCUAAUCAGAAAGCCACGGCUAACUACGUG